GGAAAAAAAUCUUAGGUCAUUAAAUAGCUGUUUCAUGUGUACUACAUCACUUACAAAAUGCCUCUAUCAUAUGUUUUCUACAUCAAAAUUUGGUCUAAUAAUCUAUGCAAUUGAAACACCAGAUAUCACAACCAGGGGCGGACCCACGUUGAGUUCAGGGGUUCAGUUGAACCCCCUGAAAAAAAAAAUUCCUACAUACCCCCCUAUAGUAAUUUUUUUUGAACCCCCUGAAAUUAAAAAAUUGCACCUAGAUCCCAGCAGCCUCACUCUCUCUCACGCACUCAUUCAGCCAUUCUCACUCUCAGACCUCAGUCUCUCUCUACUCACGAACGAUUCUUCUCCUUCUCAGCUUCUCUUGACCACCACCUCCACCGAUCCAGCCGACGCACCACCUCCGGUCCUCCACCGAUCCAGCCGACGCACUCACGCACCACAAUCCUUCUCUCAGUUCUCUGCUCAGUGCUCACUACCUCUCUCUCUCUCUCACGAGUGACGAGUCACGACUGGUUCUUCUUCUUCCUCACUCAAGCACCACGCGGCCACGCCACCACAGCACCGCCGGCGGCCGGCGCACGCCACCACCCACUCUCUCUCUCUCUGUUGAAGCUUGAAGCCUUGAAGGCUCAACAAACUUGUAGAUUUUACACAAACCAAACCAAAACGUUUGUCUGUUCGUCAAGAAUUGAUUAUUAAAACAAAGUCUGAAUCUUAUGUCCUCUAUACAACCUUAUGUAAAAACCUUCCCACUUACAGAUCCUAUAUAACGCACUUCUAUUCUUUUUGGCUUCAAUAAAAUCUGAGAGCAAGGCAUAACAAGACAUCCUAGAUUUCAAUCUCUUCCUCUGUGUUUGCCAACCUCUAUGUUUCAGAUAGAUGCCAGGCAGCAAUUAAGGGGUUUUCUGCUCUCUUUGAAGCUGAGCCUCUAGGCAGCAAUUAAGGACUUCCAACAUGGAAUGUUGAAUUUGUCAAUUGUUGAAUGUUGAAUUGUUGGCUGGGAUAUUGGGAUGAUUAGAUGAUAUAUUGAUAAUUUGAUAUUGUAUUUUACAUACACUAGUUUGCUUAAAA